rnacentral:rRNA from 1 species
UACGGAGGGUGCAAGCGUUAUCCGGAUUCACUGGGUUUAAAGGGUGCGUAGGUGGAUUGGUAAGUCCGUGGUGAAAUCCCCGAGCUUAACUCGGGAACUGCCGUGGAUACUAUCAAUCUUGAAUACUGUGGAGGUAAGCGGAAUAUGUCAUGUAGCGGUGAAAUGCUUAGAUAUGACAUAGAACACCGAUAGCGAAGGCAGCUUGCUACACAGUUAUUGACACUGAGGCACGAAAGCCAGGGGAGCAAACGGG